GGAGCUUGUGGCGGCGGCAGUUUGCAGGAAGCAGCGGAGAGCGCGAGGGGUGUCCCAUGCCUGCCCCUUGCCCGCCCCGCAGCAUGCUGCCGGUCGGCCGUGCCCGCAGGCUGGCUUCCAUUCUCAGUCAGGCCCUGGAAGACUGUGCUGAGCAAAAGAAGAAGCUAGAGGACAAUCUAACCCUGUGUCGGGCCCUUCUUGGAGACUGGAAAGUGCAAACUCCUGAGAGUCCAAAGCCAGAGAAUGGCCGAAAGGGUGACCAAGAGAGUGAGCCUUCACCCAAGGAACUGGAGGAGCUGGAGCUGCUGAACAGAGCCCUGGAGAGAGCAUUAAGAGUCCGGAAAAGCACCCUGCGAAAUCCUUCGGCGGCCCUAGGAGCUGCAGAAGGAAAGAAGGCAGCAGAGAAGAAACCUGCUACCAGCGCUGUUAGAAUGCAGCAGGCACCUUUGUCUAAAGAGAGUGUCCCUAAGACCAUCAAGGUGACAUCUGUGUGCAAAAAGGCUGCCUCUUCCAAAAAACUCUCAGCCUAUAUGCUGAAAGCUCCGUACAGGACUGAUCCUGUGAAAGCACCCACCAGUCAGAGCUCCAGGGCUCCAAAGGUGGCUGGGAAGGGCUCGACUAAAGGGGCUGCCCUCCAACAAGUGAGGAAGAUUGUGCCAGCUGCCACUGUGAUUCAGCAAGAGUUCUGUGCUGCUGCAGAACCAUCUGGCUCGCCCAGCUCUCCCCUGCACCAGCAGCAGAGCUCUUCUUCCUUUGGAGGCUCUGCUAGUGGGAAAAACUCGGUAGCUGUCAUCCUACAGGGAAUUGAUCCAGAGAAUGAUUGUCCUGGUUCCUUGGCAGAGUCUCCAGUGACACAGAGCCAUACAGCAGGAGAUAUCCCUGUGGGGAGUACCACGGCCCGCACAUUCACCCUCCAGGAAAAGGGGUCUUUGUUGAAGCUACCGCUUCCCUAUAGGAAAGCCUAUUCCAGGAACUCCAGACUGUGGGAGAAGUGUCAUCUGUGCCAAAGCAGCUCAGCCACAGCUGCUGCAAGGAGUCGCUUUCUAGAGAGAAUGCAGGCGACCUUUUGUUCCUCUGCACCAGCCCUUAGUCCUGCAGAGAUAGAAGAGGAGGUGAUGGUCCUGUGUGAUGCACAUUCUCUCCUGGGCCAGUACAUGGAAGCUGAGACCACAGGCCACCCAACGUGGGAGAGAGAGUACAAAUGUCUCCUGACCCUGGAAGGCCUGCAAGACACAGCAUCCCAGUGUUUGCACAAGCUGCAGCUGCUGCGAGCAGGUAAGGCCAAUAUCUGCUGUAAUGGUCAAGUGUCUAAGCAGCCUGCCCUGUUUGAGCAAUAGUUUGGUGCUUGUGAUUAGCCUGAGACCCAUGUUGUUAGAUAAAAUGUCAAAGAUGCAGCUGAGAGAGGGGGAACUCAUGGACAGGGUGUGUUAAUAUUACUUGUGGGUUAAAGAGACUAGUCUAGUAUUAUGGAUAUGAUUUUGUCACAGUAAAAUUAUGCAUAAUUUACGGCACAGUCACAAUAAAAAAAAUUCAUGCUAUGGUCACAGCAACAAAAUAAUUGUGUAAUAAGGGAAUGUGAACAUAAAUAUGCAUUUAUUAAUACAACAAGUUAUUUUGUUAAUUUCCAUUUACACACGGCUGUGAUUUUGGUCCAAGUUAUAUUUUGAGUGUGUCACUUUUGAUGCGACGUCUCUCAUCCCUGAGCACAUUAUUAAAGAUGAGAAUGAUCUUUCUGUGUCCACACUGUUGACUGGUGCUGUUAAGCAUCACAGGGUAGCCAGGGCCGGCUUUAGGAAGUGCGGGGCCCGAUUCAAACAGUUUUGACGGGGCCCCGAUAGGGAUGACUAAAAAAAAAAAACCCCACGUAAAAAAAACACGUGGGGCUUGUACUCACCGGGCUGCGCUCCUAGUCUUUGGCGGCGGGUCCUUCACUCGCUCCGGGUCUUCGGCGGCACUGAAGGACCCGCCGCCAAAGUGCCGCCAAAGACCCGGAGCGAGUGAAGGACCUGCUGCCAAAGACCUGGAGCGCCGCCGGGUGAGUAAAAAUUAAAAAGGUGCCUCUAGCCAGGGAAGGGAUUCUCUGCCACUUGCCCCCCACUCUGGGCAGCCCUGCCACUGGGCGCAGGGCCCUCUUAAGCGCGGGGCCCAAUUCGGGGGAAUUGGUGGAAUUGGCCUAAAGCCGGCCCUGAGGGUAGCCACUGCAAGAACUGGAAAUCAGGGUUUCAUGCUUCUCCAGACCUGUAAAAUGUCAUCACUGCUCAGUUCUUGAAAUGCUUCCCAGUAAGUCCAAUAUACUCUCUGUGCUGGAAUAUUGUCUUCAUACAGUAGGAUAUUUUCAAAUGUUGUGGCCUCAAAAAUGUUUCGGUGUUUUGCUUGAUGUGGCUGAAAUACAUGGCAUGUCCUGAAAGAAGCGUCAGCGGGUUGGCAAAAGAGGGAUAUUGAGUCAGUUUCCAUGCAUAACUUAAUUUUUUUGAGUUUUCUAAAGGUGCAGGUUUUGUUGCUGGAUGUUGGCAUGUUUCAGUGCAGCUCUCGGCCUCCAGCGCAAGAUCGCAAUUGCCAUUUUUCACUUAAUGAGCACGAACUGUGGGCCCUUCGUAAACCAUGAGAGUAUUCAUGAUUUGGGAUGCAGACUUCUUAAGAGCCUCCAGUUCUUCAAUAACUGCUGCAGAUUGGCAGAGAUCAACAAUCUCUUCAACUUGAACUGCUCUAACCAGUCUCCUUUGUGUAAGAAACAAAACAAAAACCACACCCCACAAAACGAAAUCCUCAGCAUAUGCAAGGUUAUAAAGACCUGCUUUUAACCAGCUGUUCCAUAUGGUUAUUAUUGGGGCUGGUGGGAUGCAAAGACAUUUCCCUUAUUCUAUUAAAAACACAUGAAAGCGAGCUUUCCAUGCAGGGCAAGCAGGUUUAUUUCAUUUACUUUUAAAAAUAUUUUCCUUCACAGUUUGCCAAAAAGUUAAGCAAAUGUUUCCAUGCAUGUCAGGUGUACAGCAUUUAAAAACAAAGGUUUCAAGCCUUGACCCCAAGAUUUCCCCAUGUUUUUGGCAUUAUCUGUCACAACUGCAGUGCUGCAAUCAAAUGGUAUUAGGAAUUUCUCAACAGUUUCCCUUAUUGCGUAGCUUGCUGUUUUAAAAUUAACUGCUUCCAAAACCUCAUAAUUCAGCAAAGAACCUUCCAGCUUGUGUUCACCUUCAGCUGAAGUAUCCACUUUGUCACUGCUGGUUUGGGAAGGAGAGAGCAAGAAUUAUAAGCCCAUAUCUGUCUUCAGCAUCAGUAGUUUCAUCUGCUACAAUGCUGAUUCCUUCAAAGGCUUGCAGCUUUUCUUUUAAUUCUUGAAUGUGAUAGUCAAAAACCUUGGCUGCGGAGUCCCAGAUGGUGGUACACCCGGCAGACUGUACUCACUGUGCAGGGACCUCCCCUGCAGAUUGCGCUCCACUCAGAGGACGAA